rnacentral:rRNA from 1 species
AGAGUUUGAUCCUGGCUCAGGACGAACGCUGGCGGCGUGCUUAACACAUGCAAGUCGAGCGGUAAGGCCCCUUCGGGGGUACACGAGCGGCGAACGGGUGAGUAACACGUGGGUAACCUGCCCUCAGCUCUGGGAUAAGCCCGGGAAACUGGGUCUAAUACCGGAUAUGACUCCGCAUCGCAUGGUGUGGGGUGGAAAGCCUUGUGCGGUUGAGGAUGGACCCGCGGCCUAUCAGCUUGUUGGUGGGGUAGUGGCCUACCAAGGCGACGACGGGUAGCCGGCCUGAGAGGGCGACCGGCCACACUGGGACUGAGACACGGCCCAGACUCCUACGGGAGGCAGCAGUGGGGAAUAUUGCGCAAUGGGCGAAAGCCUGACGCAGCGACGUCGCGUGAGGGAUGACGGCCUUCGGGUUGUAAACCUCUUUCAGCUCCGACGAAGCGAGAGUGACGGUAGGAGCAGAAGAAGCACCGGCCAACUACGUGCCAGCAGCCGCGGUAAUACGUAGGGUGCAAGCGUUGUCUGGAAUUAUUGGGCGUAAAGAGCUCGUAGGCGGUCUGUCGCGUCUGGUGUGAAAUCCCAUGGCUCAACUGUGGGCUUGCAUCGGGUACGGGCAGACUAGAGUGCUGUAGGGGAGACUGGAAUUCCUGGUGUAGCGGUGGAAUGCGCGAUAUCAGGAGGAACACCGAUGGCGAAGGCAGGUCUCUGGGCAGUUACUGACGCUGAGGAGCGAAAGCAUGGGGAGCGAACAGGAUUAGAUACCCUAGUAGUCC